rnacentral:lncRNA from 1 species
UUUAGUCUACCUCUCUUCUAGUCCCCACCCUCCCAGGUUCAUGCCACCAAACAGAGCAGUAAAAACUCACUGAAGAUGAGUCUCAGACACAUUUCCUCAGCACAGUUCCUAUUAGUGAUGCCUUCUUUCCCAGCCCAGUACAAGCCUGAAAAUUAGAUUACUGAGUUUCUAAAAAUUCAUAAAUAAUACAUAAAUUGAUUAUCAUCCCAUCUUGUAGGCCCUGGCACAUCUUUGAAGCUCCCUGGCACUAACCAGACAGGAGGACCGACUCAAGCUGUCAGGCCAAUCACUCAAGCUGGAAGACCCAUAACGGGCUUCCUUAGGCCCAGCACACAGAGUGGAAGACCGGGUACAAUGGAGCAGGCCAUCAGAACACCCAGAACGGCCUACACAGCACGACCUAUCACCAGCUCAUCUGGAA